CGAAAGCCUGACGGAGCAAGACCGCGUGCGGGAUGACGGCCUAAUGGUUGUAAACCGCUUUUCUCUGGGAAGAUGAUGACGGUACCAGAGGAAUCAGCCUCGGCUAACUCCGUGCCAGCAGCCGCGGUAAUACGGAGGAGGCAAGCGUUAUCCGGAAUUAUUGGGCGUAAAGCGUCCGUAGGUGGUUAUUCAAGUCUGCUGUCAAAGCGUGGGGCUUAACUCCAUAGAGGCAGUGGAAACUGGAUGACUUGAGUGCGGUAGGGGUCGAGGGAAUUCCCAGUGUAGCGGUGAAAUGCGUAGAUAUCGGGAAGAACACCAGUGGCGAAGGCGCUCUACUGGGCCGCGACUGACGCUGAGGGACGAAAGCUAGGGGAGCG
rnacentral:rRNA from 1 species